UGAUGUGUUCGUAGUGUGGCGAGCAGGGUAAAUUAAAGAAGCGCACGACAAGA
rnacentral:sRNA from 12 species